GACAGAGGGUGCAAGCGUUGUUCGGAAUUAUUGGGCGUAAAGGGCGCGUAGGCGGCCUCGUAAGUCAGAUGUGAAAUCCCCGGGCUUAACCCGGGAAGUGCAUCUGAUACUGCUUGGCUUGAGUGCUGGAGAGGGUGGUGGAAUUCCUGGUGUAGAGGUGAAAUUCGUAGAUAUCAGGAGGAACACCGGUGGCGAAGGCGACCACCUGGACAGACACUGACGCUGAGGCGCGAAAGCGUGGGGAGCAAACAGG
rnacentral:rRNA from 1 species